rnacentral:lncRNA from 13 species
AUGACAAUGGGCAACGACAUGGUUGAAUGUCCUCUUGCUCUUUGCAGGCUAAGCAAUAGCUAUAUAAAAGGUGAAUGCCAAGAAGAAAGAUGUAAAAAAGGGUGCUGUUUGAAAGGCGAUCAUAUAAACAUUGCCCAAUUUGUUUUUACAGGCAACAUACCCUCAGUCCUUAGUGAAAGGUAUUAUAUUCUGUUUGUUCUUACACCGCUUGCUUUGAUUAUGGUCAUGACACUCUCCAUGCUAAUAGUUAGCAUUUCAUUUGUAAUGAAAGGAAUGUUUCAAAAUGAACGAAAAAUGAAUUAAUCGAAGGGCCGAUAGGAUCCCUGUAUUGUCCACAGGUUGGGGGGGGCGACGACAUUGACAUUGACAUUGAUCAACCGUAUUGUGCGUAAUGAUUUGUUUUUUUAAAUAAUUAUAACCCACUGUAUAAUAGCCAGGAUUGUAUAUAGAACUGAAGAGAUGUAAAUAUAUAUGUGGCUUGCUGCAAGGUUGGUAUUUACAGAAAAACUAUUCACACUGUUUAAUUCUACAUGCCCACCAGCAACCUUUGUGGAGAGCAGUGUAACAAAAACAAAAAAACACUGCCUUAAUGUUUAAAUAAAAAUCUUAUUGCCAUUGAAACUGAUGCUGUUCAUGUCUUUCUGUAUACUUUGAUUGCCAUGUAUUACAUUGUUGCAAAUGUGUAUGAUCACCAACUGAAUAUCCUAUUUUAAGACUAUUUUAAAUUGGAGAGGGGGGAAAAUAAAACGACUAGAUAUGAUGCAAACAGCUAUCUUGGAUCUGAGAGAACUGAAGAUACACUAUAUUGCUGACAAGUGUAUAAAAUCGAGCACACGGACAUGCAAUCUCCAUAGACAAACAUUGGCAGUAGAAUGGCCUUACUGAAGAGCUCGGUGACUUUCAACAUGGCACCGUCAUAGGUUUGCAACAGUUUGGGGAAGGCCCUUUCCUGUUUCAGCAUGACAAUGUCCCCGUGCAAAAAGCGAGGUCCAAACAGAAGUGGUUUGUCGAGAUUGUUGUGGAAGAACUUGGCUGACCUGCACAGAGCAUUGACCUCAACCCUAUUGAACACCUUUGGGGUGAAUUGGAACGCCGACUGCGAGCCAGGCCUAAUCGCCCAACAUCAAUGCCCGACCUUACUGAUGCUCUUGUGGCUGAAUGGAAACAAGUCCCCGCAUCAAUGUUCCAACAUCUAGUGGAAAGCCUUCCCAGAAGAGUGGAGGCUGUUAGAGCAGCAAAGGGGGGACCGACUCCAUAUUAAUACCCAUGGUUUUGGAAUGAGAUGUUUGACAUGCAGAUGUACACAUACUUUUGGUCAUGUAGUGUAUGUUUAAAGCUGAUCUAGUUUUAGAAAAAUUAACUAUCCCAGUCUAAAUUGCUACCACAUAAUAUAGUGCAGUGGAAACCAGCCGCCACAAGUGGGUGCUAGACUCUUAUUAUUGGAUGUGGUGGUUGGGACAAUGAGCUGCCUGCAUAGCUUUGCCACACACCGCUUCUCUGACAGUAAAGAAAGUACCAUAAAACACAGGAGGAGAAGAAAUGUCACGUUGACAAUCUAAUGAGGGGGUUAAAUGCAGUGAUCUGAGGUCCAGCAAUUAUGAGUUAAUGAACUAUUAAUCCCCAGGGGUUCAUUGUGAACAAUACCCAGAAGUUGUGCGUUUGGUAAAACUGAACGUUCUUUUUUAAAAAUGUUGCUUGCUCGGUGAACAUUUAUUUUUAUGUUGCAGGGAGGUUCUAAGAACGUUUUACUCUGGUUCCUUGAACGUUUUCCUGGGAGGUUUUAUUAACAAUUUUCUGUGGAUGAUUCAAUAAGACUUAAUAACACUGCUAUUUUGGGUUAACUUUUUACUCCAAGCACAGAUGGGACAUACGGAAAUUAAUUUCCUUAAGCAUUCAUGCAACCACGUUUUUUUUUUUUUGUGUGACACAGCAUCGGUGACAUUCAAACCUAUAAUCUUCUGUUCUCUUUACAUGGAAUUAGUCCACUGCAGCAUCAGGAUGGAGCUAGCAUGCCAUGUUUUCUUUUUUUUUACAAAUACAAGCUGUUCAUUUUAAUCUAUUAAAACCAUAGAGAUAAAUAGAGGACUCAUCUUUGUAUCUGUGCCAUUAUAGCAUCUGUGACUGCACGGGGAGCACCAUUGAGGCAAUCUCCAUUUUGAAGUCCAUUUUAUUCACGAUUGGCUUAUCCCUCCUGAUGACCCAGUUGGACAUGACUCCAACAGGGUCACCUGGAGGGAUCAGACAAUGAAGUUGAAAUCUCACCCAGUUGACUACAUUAAAAUGGUAGAACCCCUCAAUGGUGCUGCCUAUGCUAAUAUGGCCUUUUGACCAAUAGUAGCCUCUAUCAUUCUCUAUCACACCUGAUCUUAAUGAGUGCUUGUUUCCUUUGAAAUGGAGUAUUUCA